rnacentral:RNase_P_RNA from 1 species
CGAGCAAGACAGACGGCGGCGGAGGGCCCCAAAAGCCCUCUGAGGAAAGUCCGGGCUCCUCAAGGGAACGGUAACUGCUAACGGCAGCCGGGGGUGACCCCAGAGAUAGUGCAACAGAAAGAAACCGCCUGCACCUGCAGGCAAGGGUGGAAAGGUGCGGUAAGAGCGCACCAGCGCGCUUGGUAACUUGCGCGGCUCUGUAAACCUUACCGGGAGCAACGCCCGACCGGGGCAAUGCGUGCCCUUGCGCGCCCCACCGAGGCGGCUUGAGCUGUGCGGUGACGCCCAGCCUAGAAAGAUCGUCGUUUUAUACAGAACCCGGCUUAUGGAUUGCCUCGCUUC